GAUGAACGCUAGCUACAGGCUUAACACAUGCAAGUCGAGGGGAAACGACAUCGAAAGCUUGCUUUUGAUGGGCGUCGACCGGCGCACGGGUGAGUAACGCGUAUCCAACCUGCCCACCACUUGGGGAUAACCUUGCGAAAGUAAGACUAAUACCCAAUGAUAUCUCUAGAAGACAUCUGAAAGAGAUUAAAGAUUUAUCGGUGAUGGAUGGGGAUGCGUCUGAUUAGCUUGUUGGCGGGGUAACGGCCCACCAAGGCUACGAUCAGUGGGGGUUCUGAGAGGAAGGGCCCCCACAUUGGAACUGAGACACGGUCCAAACUCCUACGGGAGGCAGCAGUGAGGAAUAUUGGUCAAUGGGCGAGAGCCUGAACCAGCCAAGUAGCGUGCAGGAUGACGGCCCUAUGGGUUGUAAACUGCUUUUAUAAGGGAAUAAAGUGAGCCUCGUGAGGCUUUUUGCAUGUACCUUAUGAAUAAGGACCGGCUAAUUCCGUGCCAGCCGCCGCCGUAA
rnacentral:rRNA from 1 species